GUAGAAUAGCUUAGAAGCACCUGUUAUGACCUCAAUAAUUUAAUUCACCCAAUUAAGCAACUUCAUUACAAUUAAUCAGUUAGAAAAGGAAAUUACAAUAGAAUCUGAACAAUGCUGACAAGUAGCACUUCAGACUAACCCAAACAAGUCGAAAUAGACUCAGUAACUCGAUUAACAAUCUACUGAAAUUAACUAACUGAAAAUGAGUUACAAAGAAAAGAAAUGGAACAGUACUUCCAUUUUCAGCCGACUCAAUCUCCACUCACCAUAGAUAUUCCUGCAUAAUUUAGAGGAAGGAAAUCAGGGAAGAAGACAAAGAUAAGAGUGAGAGAGGGGAAGAGAAAAAAUGAAAAGGAAAGAGAAGGAAUUCACGAGGGAAAUGGGGAACAAGAUUACCAAACUCAUCACACCAUUUUCCCACAUGAAAUAUACUCCUUGCGAAAGAUCUCAGUCAUCGCCUUGAAGUAACUGAUCCUUGCCAUCCACGUGCGCAUUAACUGCUAAUUCAAUUAGCUGUUAAUUCCCUUUUUACUACUAACUCCACA
rnacentral:lncRNA from 1 species